rnacentral:rRNA from 1 species
GCACAAGCGGUGGAGCAUGUGGUUUAAUUCGACGCAACGCGAAGAACCUUACCUGGGCUUGACAUCCCGAUCGUACCUGCUGGAAACAGCGGGGUCAGUUCGGCUGGAUCGGAGACAGGUGCUGCAUGGCUGUCGUCAGCUCGUGUCGUGAGAUGUUGGGUUAAGUCCCGCAACGAGCGCAACCCUUGUCCUUAGUUGCCAUCAUUUAGUUGGGCACUCUAAGGAGACUGCCGGGUGUUAAACCGGAGGAAGGUGGGGAUGACGUCAAGUCCUCAUGGCCCUUAUGUCCAGGGCUACACACGUGCUACAAUGGCCGGUACAAAGGGCAGCAAAGCCGCGAGGUGGAGCCAAUCCCAGAAAGCCGGUCUCAGUUCGGAUUGGAGUCUGCAACUCGACUCCAUGAAGUUGGAAUCGCUAGUAAUCGCGGAUCAGCAUGCCCGCGGUCGAAUACGUUCCGGCCUU